rnacentral:rRNA from 1 species
UAGGGAAUCUUGCGCAAUGGGCGAAAGCCUGACGCAGCAACGCCGCGUGCGGGAUGACGGCCUUCGGGUUGUAAACCGCUUUCAGGAGGGACGAACCAAGACGGUACCUCCAGAAGAAGCCCCGGCCAACUACGUGCCAGCAGCCGCGGUAACACGUAGGGGGCAAGCGUUGUCCGGAUUUAUUGGGCGUAAAGAGCUCGUAGGCGGCUCAGUAAGUCGGGUGUGAAACCUCCAGGCUCAACCUGGAGACGCCACCCGAUACUGCUGUGGCUUGAGUCCGGUAGAGGAGUGUGGAAUUCCCGGUGUAGCGGUGGAAUGCGCAGAUAUCGGGAGGAACACCAAUGGCGAAGGCAGCACUCUGGGCCGGUACUGACGCUGAGGAGCGAAAGCGUGGGGAGCGAACAGG